rnacentral:rRNA from 1 species
AAGUCGUAACAAGGUUUCCGUAGGUGAACCUGCGGAAGAUCAUUACCGAGUUAGGGUCGCCCCGCGCGCCCGACUCCAACCCUUUGUCUACCUGACCUUAUGGUUGCUUCGGCAGGCCCGCCGCCCUCCUCGUGGGGGUGGCCGCCGGGGGUCCUUCGUGACCUCGGCCGCGCUGUCGAUGGCCCAAUAAACUCUUGCUAUUAAACGUGUCGUCUGAGUAAAACAAACAAAUUAAAACAAAACUUUCAAAACGGAUCUCUUGGUUCUGGCAUCGAUGUAAGAACGCAGCGAAAUGCGAUAGUAAUGCGAAUUGCAGAAUCCGUGAGUCAUCGAAUCUUGAACGCAUAUUGCGCCCUCUGGUAUUCCGGAGGGCAUGCUGUUCGAGCGUCAUUAAUCACCCCUCAAGCCCGCUUGUUGUGGACCACGGCGGGAGCUUCGCGCCCCCGCCCGUCUCAAAGAUAAUGACGCGUCUGUGAGGACUCCUGUACACUGAGCUUUCGGGCACGUACUAGGCUAGAAGUCCAGACCCGGUCUUUUGUCGGCGUCACGCGCUGACACCCCCCCUUUUUAUCAAGGUUGACCUCGGAUCAGGUAGAAUACCCGCUGAACUUAA